CCACCAAAACAACGAAAACAACUUGGAUGGCAGGAUUAUGGCCAACAAGGUUCUGAGUAAAGUCAC